CUAUAGCGUUAGCGAUUGUAGUGGAAAGCCCACAGUGAGGCACGAACGAGGACUUGCAACGCAAAGCGCGACCCUUG
rnacentral:misc_RNA from 1 species